rnacentral:rRNA from 1 species
CCUACGGGUGGCAGCAGUGAGGAAUAUUGGUCAAUGGGCUUACGCCUGAUCCAGCCAAGUCGCGUGAGGGAAGACUGCCCUCUGGGUUGUAAACCUCUUUUGUCAGGGAGCAAUUGGCGCUACGUGUAGCGUUAUCGAGAGUACCUGAAGAAAAAGCAUCGGCUAACUCCGUGCCAGCAGCCGCGGUAAUACGGAGGAUGCGAGCGUUAUGCGGCUUUAUUGGGUGUGAAGGUUGCGUAGGCGGAAUGCAAAGUCAGCGGUAAAAUCGCGGGGCUAAACCUCGCUCCGCCGUUGAAACUGGCGUUCUUGAGUGGGCGAGAGGUAUGCGGAAUGCGUGGUGUAGCGGUGAAAUGCAUAGAUAUUACGCAGAACUCCGAUUGCGAAGGCAGCAUACCGGAGCCAAACUGACGCUGAAGCACGAAAGCGUGGGUAUCGAACAGGAUUAGAUACCCGAGUAGUC